rnacentral:lncRNA from 1 species
CAACUAACUGAGGCAGGAGUAACCUGACAGAACUUCAUCUCAAUUUCAUUGAGUAUCUGUCACCAUGCAGCUUCUCAGAUGCCUCCAUGUGGGAGAUAUGGAAACCCAUUCAACUACCCUGGAUCCUACUGGCUCACACAUUCAACAAUAAUACCAUGGAAGCUGUACUGAAGAACCAGAUGGCUGGAUCCUGCUGUUCAUGUGAUAGAAGUGAUCAUAUUCAGCAGCAAAAUCCAGAGAGACUGGAUGAAACCUCAUCAGUCAAGACAGGGACAUCUGGAAGGAUUGCACCAGGUGUUCAU